AGUUACUCACUCCCUCCUUUCUGGUCUAAAUUGGGUUGGAAUAUAUAUCAAAGGAAGCCAGAAAGUGGUUGGGGAGAUUAAAAAACAACAACAACAACAACAACAUUUAGACUGAAUGUCUUGAUGGUCCAUCCAUUCACUUCUGGUUUGAAAAUGAGACAGGGUCUCACUCUGUUACCCAGUCUGGAGUACAAUGGCACCGCUAUAGCCCACUGCAGCCUCAAACUUCUGGGCUGAAGCAAUCCUCCCACUUCAGCAUCCCAAGUAGGAAUGUCUCAUUAAAUGACAUCAAAGCCUGUUUCUGCAAUUAAAAAAGCAUUUAUAUUAACUGGAUUUUGAAAAGAGAAAAGAACGAUAAAACCACCCCCCAAUUCUUCAAACAACAAAAGAGGAAACACAGCAACCCCCUUCCCCAAAUUUUGGCAUUUGUUCACCUCUUUUAACCCUUGCUUUUUCGUAAAAUAAAAACUUAUUGGAGAAACUGUUGUGAGCAAAAGGUCUUAAUUGAAAAAAAAUCCUUUUAGGAGUGUUU